rnacentral:piRNA from 1 species
UUUGUUGAUGAUUGAUUUUGU